UACGUACAAGCAGUGGGAGCACCCUUUUGGGUGUGACUGCGUACCUUUUGUAUAAUGGGUCAGCGACUUAUAUUCUGUAGCAAGGUUAACCGUAUAGGGGAGCCGGAGGGAAACCGAGUCUUAACCGGGCGUUAAGUUGCAGGGUAUAGACCCGAAACCCGGUGAUCUAGCCAUGGGCAGGUUGAAGGUUGGGUAACACUAACUGGAGGACCGAACCGACUAAUGUUGAAAAAUUAGCGGAUGACCUGUGGCUGGGGGUGAAAGGCCAAUCAAACCGGGAGAUAGCUGGUUCUCCCCGAAAGCUAUUUAGGUAGCGCCUCGUGAAUUCAUCUCCGGGGGUAGAGCACUGUUUCGGCUAGGGGGCCAUCCCGGCUUACCAACCCGAUGCAAACUGCGAAUACCGGAGAAUGUUAUCACGGGAGACACACGGCGGGUGCUAACGUCCGUCGUGAAGAGGGAAACAACCCAGACCGCCAGCUAAGGUCCCAAAGUCAUGGUUAAGUGGGAAACGAUGUGGGAAGGCCCAGACAGCCAGGAUGUUGGCUUAGAAGCAGCCAUCAUUUAAAGAAAGCGUAAUAGCUCACUGGUCGAGUCGGCCUGCGCGGAAGAUGUAACGGGGCUAAACCAUGCACCGAAGCUGCGGCAGCGACGUUUAUGCGUUGUUGGGUAGGGGAGCGUUCUGUAAGCCUGCGAAGGUGGCCUGUGAGGGUUGCUGGAGGUAUCAGAAGUGCGAAUGCUGACAUAAGUAACGAUAAAGCGGGUGAAAAGCCCGCUCGCCGGAAGACCAAGGGUUCCUGUCCAACGUUAAUCGGGGCAGGGUGAGUCGACCCCUAAGGCGAGGCCGAAAGGCGUAGUCGAUGGGAAACGGGUUAAUAUUCCCGUACUUGGUGUUACUGCGAAGGGGGGACGGAGAAGGCUAUGUUGGCCGGGCGACGGUUGUCCCGGUUUAAGCGUGUAGGCUGGUUUUCCAGGCAAAUCCGGAAAAUCAAGGCUGAGGCGUGACGACGAGGCACUACGGUGCUGAAGCAACAAAUGCCCUGCUUCCAGGAAAAGCCUCUAAGCAUCAGGUAACAUCAAAUCGUACCCCAAACCGACACAGGUGGUCAGGUAGAGAAUACCAAGGCGCUUGAGAGAACUCGGGUGAAGGAACUAGGCAAAAUGGUGCCGUAACUUCGGGAGAAGGCACGCUGACACGUAGGUGAAGUGAUUUACUCACGGAGCUGAAGUCAGUCGAAGAUACCAGCUGGCUGCAACUGUUUAUUAAAAACACAGCACUGUGCAAACACGAAAGUGGACGUAUACGGUGUGACGCCUGCCCGGUGCCGGAAGGUUAAUUGAUGGGGUCAGCGCAAGCGAAGCUCCUGAUCGAAGCCCCGGUAAACGGCGGCCGUAACUAUAACGGUCCUAAGGUAGCGAAAUUCCUUGUCGGGUAAGUUCCGACCUGCACGAAUGGCGUAAUGAUGGCCAGGCUGUCUCCACCCGAGACUCAGUGAAAUUGAACUCGCUGUGAAGAUGCAGUGUACCCGCGGCAAGACGGAAAGACCCCGUGAACCUUUACUAUAGCUUGACACUGAACAUUGAGCCUUGAUGUGUAGGAUAGGUGGGAGGCUUUGAAGCGUGGACGCCAGUCUGCGUGGAGCCGACCUUGAAAUACCACCCUUUAAUGUUUGAUGUUCUAACGUGGACCCGUAAUCCGGGUUGCGGACAGUGUCUGGUGGGUAGUUUGACUGGGGCGGUCUCCUCCUAAAGAGUAACGGAGGAGCACGAAGGUUGGCUAAUCCUGGUCGGACAUCAGGAGGUUAGUGCAAUGGCAUAAGCCAGCUUGACUGCGAGCGUGACGGCGCGAGCAGGUGCGAAAGCAGGUCAUAGUGAUCCGGUGGUUCUGAAUGGAAGGGCCAUCGCUCAACGGAUAAAAGGUACUCCGGGGAUAACAGGCUGAUACCGCCCAAGAGUUCAUAUCGACGGCGGUGUUUGGCACCUCGAUGUCGGCUCAUCACAUCCUGGGGCUGAAGUAGGUCCCAAGGGUAUGGCUGUUCGCCAUUUAAAGUGGUACGCGAGCUGGGUUUAGAACGUCGUGAGACAGUUCGGUCCCUAUCUGCCGUGGGCGCUGGAGAACUGAGGGGGGCUGCUCCUAGUACGAGAGGACCGGAGUGGACGCAUCACUGGUGUUCGGGUUGUCAUGCCAAUGGCACUGCCCGGUAGCUAAAUGCGGAAGAGAUAAGUGCUGAAAGCAUCUAAGCACGAAACUUGCCCCGAGAUGAGUUCUCCCUGAGACUU
rnacentral:rRNA from 1 species